rnacentral:misc_RNA from 1 species
GGGGACCCCUGGAAAGCCAGGACCGCGGGGGCAGCGAGGCCCAACGGGUCCGAGGGGUGAAAGAGGCCCCCGGGGCAUCACUGGGAAGCCUGGCCCCAAGGGCAACUCCGGAGGUGACGGCCCAGCUGGCCCUCCUGGUGAACGGGGACCCAAUGGACCCCAAGGACCCACAGGAUUUCCUGGACCAAAGGGCCCCCCUGGCCCUCCAGGCAAGGAUGGACUCCCAGGACACCCUGGACAGAGAGGCGAG